rnacentral:rRNA from 1 species
UGCCAGCAGCCGCGGUAAUACGGAGGGUGCGAGCGUUAAUCGGAAUUACUGGGCGUAAAGCGCACGCAGGCGGUUUGUUAAGCUAGAUGUGAAAGCCCCGGGCUUAACCUGGGAACUGCAUUUGAUACUGAGUAACUAGAGUGUGGUAGAGGAGAGUGGAAUUUCAGGUGUAGCGGUGAAAUGCGUAGAUAUAGGAAGGAAUACCGGUGGCGAAGGCGGCCUCCUGGACCAAUACUGACGCUGAGGUGCGAAAGCGUGGGGAGCAAACCGGAUUAGAUA